UACGUAGGUGACCAGCGUUGUCCGGAUUUACUGGGCGUAAAGAGCGCGCAGGCGGUCGUUCAAGUCGAGUGUGAAAGCCCCCGGCUCCAACUGGGGAGGGUCACUCGAUACUGAUCGACUUGAAGGCAGGAGAGGGAAGCGGAAUUCCCGGUGUAGUGGUGGAAUGCGCAGAUAUCAGGAGGAACACCGAUGGCGAAGGCAGGUCACUGGGCCGCAACUGACGCUGAGGAGCGAAAGCAUGGGGGAGCGAACAGGA
rnacentral:rRNA from 1 species